rnacentral:rRNA from 1 species
UACAGAGGUCUCAAGCGUUGUUCGGAUUCAUUGGGCGUAAAGGGUGCGUAGGUGGCGCUGUAAGUCGGGUGUGAAAUUUCGGAGCUUAACUCCGAAACUGCAUUCGAUACUGCGGUGCUUGAGGACUGGAGAGGAGACUGGAAUUCAUGGUGUAGCAGUGAAAUGCGUAGAUAUCUGGAGGAACACCGGUGGCGAAGGCGGCAUCCUGGACCGGCAUUGACGCUGAGGCGCGAAAGCCAGGGGAGCAAAAGGG